rnacentral:tRNA from 1 species
GGUUAUAGCUCAGUGGUAGAGCUCUUGCCUAGCAUGCGUGAGGCACUGGGUUCAAUCCUCAGCACCA